GGACAGACUGCGCGCCUUCGACAAUCCGUCUCCUGAAACGUCAAAUUCCUCGUCAAAGCUAGAUAGACUUCAACACGAAACAUUGUGAGCAUCUCACCUCGACUCAGACAUCGUGUCUCUGUUGGCGGUGUUAAUCCAUGGAUGCACAAGCAAUGGGCAGCCUGAAGCAAGGAAGGCAACUGCGAUGGCUCGACGCUUACCUCUCCCCGGUAUACAAAUUCUAACAAAGACUCCAAAUCAUCUGCUCCAAUUCCUGCCAGCAUGACCACUGGAUGCUGGCAUGGAGUGCUCUAUCCAAGAGGAACGGACUGGCUGCGCAGAGAACAAUUUUAUGCGCAGGAAAGCUGCGACCACCAGCAGCCAAGGUAACAUCCACCAAAUCGCCAUGUCCUCUCAACAGCUGUACUGCAGAGACCAAAGAGGAACUGAAUUCUCCCCACGAGAGACUGUACAGCUGGCUGCUGCUACCCAUUCCGUAUUGAAUAGCUCAACUGUAAGCGAAUAUAUUGAUAUAAUUACUUAAUUUUUCAUUGUAUACAACUUUCACACCGAAGACAAAAUAUAUCAUGUGUAAAGCAUU